rnacentral:rRNA from 1 species
UACGUAGGGUGCAAGCGUUGUCCGGAAUUAUUGGGCGUAAAGAGCUCGUAGGCGGUCUGUCGCGUCGAAUGUGAAAACACGAGGCUCAACUUCGUGCCUGCAUUCGAUACGGGCAGACUAGAGUUCGGUAGGGGAGUCUGGAAUUCCUGGUGUAGCGGUGAAAUGCGCAGAUAUCAGGAGGAACACCGGUGGCGAAGGCGGGACUCUGGGCCGAUACUGACGCUGAGGAGCGAAAAGCGUGGGGAGCAAACAGG